AAGUAAUUUGCUGUCUGAGUCUCCGCCCCCAAGACCCGCGGCCGCAAGCUCCGGAGUGCGGCUUCCCCGGCCGGCGAACUGCGCGAUGGGCUGCGGGAACUCCCGGGCAGAGGCCCUGCAGGAGCAGCCAAAGAUGUAACAGAAGAAUCCAUAACAGAAGAUGACAAGAGGAGAAACUAUGGAGGAGUAUAUGUUGGCCUACCAUCUGAAGCUGUCAAUAUGGUGUCCAGUCAAACAAAGACGGUUCGGAAAAAUUAGAAGAAAAUAACAUCAUGACUCAAGAAUCAGGAGCAUGCUCAUCAAUUUGGAAGGAAUUUGGCUCUGUGGGACAUUGUACUGUGCACAGACAUUUCCAAGGAAAUUCUAAACAGUCACCCUUCCCUCUUGCAUUUCCCCAAAUCUUAAGCGUAUACAUAAAACCCUGGGUACAUACUGUUGUGGUAAUAGAAGGGAAUUGGUUAAACAGUACACUUUAUGGAACUUUCUGUGGCCACCUACGAAAGACAAGUUAACAAACUGUCAUGGAGGCUGCUGUUGCCUAGCCAGGGCUGCUGCAUUUUGACAUUUCCACCGUGGCCACUCAACACAUUUCAUGGAGGUCAUGUCUUUUCACUGAUGCUUUUUGAUAGUUUUUAUAUAACAAAAUCCUUAUUCUAUUUAUAACUUAAGAUGAUAAGGCACUAUAAAUGAAUGACCUAAAAUAAUAUAUUUGUCUGUUAUCUUUCGCUAUUUCUACUUCACUUUAAUUUUUAGCUGUAAAAUUGGUAAAUGGAUUCUUACAACUAUCUCUUUCUGUUUUUCACUAUUUGGUUUUCAAAUUUCAUUUAAAUGUCAGAAUUUCCUUUUUAGGAACAAUGUGUAUUUCAUUGCAAUAUUUAAAAAUAAACUCAAAUUUGCAUGCCAUAUGCACACACACACACAAAAAGUAAUUUGCCUACGUUUGUUGUUAGUAAUACAUACAAAAGUUCUUGCUGGAAAUUGUGCUAAGGCCUAAUUUUGAUUCAACUAAUACAGACGCAUAAAAUGCCUUCAAUUUCCCUUUACAUCAUCCCAACAAUGGGUAUCUGAACUUCUCCUUUGGUGGUUAAAUAAUAAUGAUUUAUUUUGUCUUUUAAAAAAAUUAAAACCAAGAGGGAGUGAAUGUUUUACCAUGAGUACUUAUUACUUUUGAAACUAGAAAUAAUUCUCUAUUUUUACAAAAGGGUAAACAUAUUUCUCUCCAGGGUAAAGAGAAAACAAUGGGCAUAAUAACAUAGUGACUGAUGCUCAGAAACAUAACUAAAUUAUCAUUUUAUCUCAGUAACCCAACAGGGUGUAACAGGAAGUAAGGCUUGGUAGGGUGUAAUUUGCAUUGCAAUCGGCUUUUUUCCCCAUGUUAAGUAAGGCAGUUUGAAGUAAGUUUUUUUAAACAACAUGAAAAAAUACAACAAAAAUGUUCUAGUCCAAGGCCAGAACACAGUUUUAUAUGAUCUGCAGAUAAUUUAGUAUUUGAGAAGCCUUUUCAACAUUCUCUGACUCCAAUGAAAACUAAAGCAAAACUUGGGAGGAAAAAAAUAAAUAAGCAAAUAAAACAGUAUCUGUAUAAUUAUCCACAGAUCAAACAAUUUAGGGACAAUAAAAUAGAGCAACAUUUCAGCUAGGUCAGGUGCAAAAUAAUGGAACAACUAUUCACUGUUUAUUCAUAUUUCACACAUUCACUAACAACAAAAAUUCUGGCUAGUUUUACUGUUAAUAUAUUUGGGAUGAUUGCUUUAUUAGUCAAAGGACUUAAAAUCCAUUUUGUGUAAGUUGAAUAGCUAGGGCAUCAUAGAUAUAGGAUAAUCAGCCUUCUUGGUUUGCUCUAGCCCUCCUUCCUCCACAAACACACUAUUAGGUCCACAUUUUGAGCCUUUGAAAGAGUAGAAAAAAUGCCAUGCUGUAGAUGCAGAGAGGAUAUCAUGGGACUUUGUCUGCCCUGCUUCUGAUGCCAGGAGGCACUUUAUUGUAGAGAACUGAGCCUCCUGUGUGCCAAUCCUGACCCUAACCUUUGCUGCCAAUCAGAGCCACUGCUCGCACAGGUUGGCUCCAGACCUGGCUGGUUCCAUCACAGUUCUCAGCACUCCUGAGAUAGCAUUUGAUGCAGCCACAGACUUGUUAUCCAGGUGCGGCCAAUGUGAGAUCUUCCCUAAAACUCUCCUCCCUGAAGGCCUUUAAGGAGUGAAACAGAAAAGAAAAAACAACAACAACAACAACAACAACAAAAA